AGACUCAGACGGAGAAAGAUCCGAACUGAACCACGGAACCAGUAAUGAGCCUGUUUUUCCCCGACUUUCUGCUUUGUGACCGAUUCAGUUUCGAAUUCAGAGCGAGAAACCCUCCAGGCGUACAAGCUGAACCGGCGUAAUCCACACUCCUGAGACAGCAGACUGAAGACGUCUACUGGAGAAGAGACAAAACCUUUCAACAAAGAAGAACCCAUCCAGAGGGGUCCCACUUGUUUAGGGGUCAAUCUAAUUUUUUUCUGAUAUCGUAGAUCUUUUUUGGCCAAUGUUAGUUGGACCUAUGUGCUCAUUCUGGCUGCCCUUCUUGCUGUGAAGCUCCGCACCUUUAAGAGUGGUCACUAGCUUGGCGUAGAGAUCAGACAGAACGUCCCCCAUCAGGCCCG